rnacentral:rRNA from 1 species
GACGAACGCUGGCGGCGUGCCUAAUACAUGCAAGUUGAGCGCUGAAGGUUGGUACUUGUACCAACUGGAUGAGCAGCGAACGGGUGAGUAACGCGUGGGGAAUCUGCCUUUGAGCGGGGGACAAAAUUUGGAAACGAAUGCUAAUACCGCAUAAAAACUUUAAACACAAGUUUUAAGUUUGAAAGAUGCAAUUGCAUCACUCAAAGAUGAUCCCGCGUUGUAUUAGCUAGUUGGUGAGGUAAAGGCUCACCAAGGCGAUGAUACAUAGCCGACCUGAGAGGGUGAUCGGCCACAUUGGGACUGAGACACGGCCCAAGCUCCUACGGGAGGCAGCAGUAGGGGAUCUUCGGCAAUGGACGAAAGUCUGACCGAGCAACGCCGCGGGAGUGAAGAAGGUUUUCGGAUCGUAAAACUCUGUUGGUAGAGAAGAACGUUGGUGAGAGUGGAAAGCUCAUCAAGUGACGGUAACUACCCAGAAAGGGACGGCUAACUACGUG